GACGAACGCUGGCGGCGUGCCUAAUACAUGCAAGUAGAACGCUGAAGGAGGAGCUUGCUCUUCUGGAUGAGUUGCGAACGGGUGAGUAACGCGUAGGUAACCUGCCUGGUAGCGGGGGAUAACUAUUGGAAACGAUAGCUAAUACCGCAUAACAGUAGAUGUUGCAUGACAUUUGCUUAAAAGGUGCAAUUGCACCACUACCAGAUGGACCUGCGUUGUAUUAGCUAGUUGGUGGGGUAACGGCUCACCAAGGCGACGAUACAUAGCCGACCUGAGAGGGGGAUCGGCCAGACUGGGACGGGGACACGGCCCAGACUCCGACGGGAGGCAGCAGUAGGGAAUCUUCGGCAAUGGACGGAAGUCUGACCGAGCAACGCCGCGUGAGUGAAGAAGGUUUUCGGAUCGUAAAGCUCUGUUGUAAGAGAAGAACGAGUGUGAGAGUGGAAAGUUCACACUGUGACGGUAUCUUACCAGAAAGGGACGGCUAACUACGUG
rnacentral:rRNA from 1 species